rnacentral:lncRNA from 1 species
CCGGAGAACUCGGUCCCGCCUCCAGAGCGGAGAGCCACUUGGCGGGGAGGGAGUGGCAUUGAGCUGAGGCAGGAGGCGUGGGCUGGCCCGAGAAACCGGCGCUGAAGUCUCAGUUUGCGUUUUGCUCUUGGUUAUGCCCCACUGUCCCGACGCCUCACUCGCUUCUGCCCCCGCGGACAGCGUUCACUCUCUGGGUCUUAGUCUUUUAUCUCAGGGCAGAUCAGGUCAGCAGCUAGGAAUGAAGACCCUUCACUGACCCGUCCCCAGGCCCACCUCAUCCCUGCUGUUGCAACAUCCCUGCUGUUUCUUAAUCACAGAGUCCCCUAAAAGACCCAGAAUCAAGAACCACCCCCCCCCCCGCGUAAAUGUCCUAUUGCCAGAAGAGCAAUAGGACAGGGGCAUGGGAGCCCUCUGGAACCCAAGACCGCCUAGCCCCAAGGUCUGCCCUGGGCCCAUGGUGUGCUGGAUGGGCUGGGGCAAACUCUUCAGUUCUCAGGAAUCUUGCCAGCCAGCUGUUAAUCACGGA